AUUGAACGCUGGCGGCAGGCCUAAACACAUGCAAGUCGAACGGUAACAGGAAGCAGCUUGCUGCUUUGCUGACGAGUGGCGGACGGGUGAGUAAUGUCUGGGAAACUGCCUGAUGGAGGGGGAUAACUACUGGAAACGGUAGCUAAUACCGCAUAACGUCGCAAGACCAAAGAGGGGGACCUUCGGGCCUCUUGCCAUCGGAUGUGCCCAGAUGGGAUUAGCUAGUAGGUGGGGUAACGGCUCACCUAGGCGACGAUCCCUAGCUGGUCUGAGAGGAUGACCAGCCACACUGGAACUGAGACACGGUCCAGACUCCUACGGGAGGCAGCAGUGGGGAAUAUUGCACAAUGGGCGCAAGCCUGAUGCAGCCAUGCCGCGUGUAUGAAGAAGGCCUUCGGGUUGUAAAGUACUUUCAGCGGGGAGGAAGGGAGUAAAGUUAAUACCUUUGCUCAUUGACGUUACCCGCAGAAGAAGCACCGGCUAACUCCGUGCCAGCAGCCGCGGUAAUACGGAGGGUGCAAGCGUUAAUCGGAAUUACUGGGCGUAAAGCGCACGCAGGCGGUUUGUUAAGUCAGAUGUGAAAUCCCCGGGCUCAACCUGGGAACUGCAUCUGAUACUGGCAAGCUUGAGUCUCGUAGAGGGGGGUAGAAUUCCAGGUGUAGCGGUGAAAUGCGUAGAGAUCUGGAGGAAUACCGGUGGCGAAGGCGGCCCCCUGGACGAAGACUGACGCUCAGGUGCGAAAGCGUGGGGAGCAAACAGG
rnacentral:rRNA from 1 species